rnacentral:rRNA from 1 species
YUACGUGCCAGCAGCCGCGGUAAUACGUAGGGAGCGAGCGUUAUCCGGAUUUAUUGGGUGUAAAGGGUGCGUAGACGGAAAUACAAGUUAGUUGUGAAAUACCUCGGCUUAACUGGGGAACUGCAACUAAAACUAUAUUUCUUGAGUAUCGGAGGGGUUUGUGGAAUUCCUAGUGUAGCGGUGAAAUGCGUAGAUAUUAGGAAGAACACCGGUGGCGAAGGCGACAAACUGGACGAUAACUGACGUUGAGGCACGAAAGUGUGGGGAGCAAACAGGAUUAGAUACCCUGGUAGUCCACACCGUAAACGAUGGAUACUAGGUGUUGGCAAUGAAUAAUUGUCGGUGCCGGCGCUAACGCAAUAAGUAUCCCACCUGGGGAGUACGACCGCAAGGUUGAAACUCAAAGGAAUUGACGGGGGCCCGCACAAGCGGCGGAGCAUGCGGAUUAAUUCGAUGCAACGCGAAGAACCUUACCAAGGCU